rnacentral:lncRNA from 1 species
AAAUUUGCGCUCUAAGUAUGUCUUUGCAGCUUGUGAGCGAGACCCAAUUGCGAAAGCUUGAUACUCAAAGUAGUUGCCACUUGGACAGUUGUAAUAGAGGUGGGCUCCAGAUUCAUCCAAACCACCUACCAGCAGACCAACACCAUAAGGCCUUUUCCAUGAGCGCUGAGUACAAAUCUGCCAAUGUUUUAAAUGAAAAGAGGAUGAGUGGCUCAAGGAGUAAAAGCGAAAAACCAGCAGCCCCUUCUCCAUGUAUUAAUGCACGAAAAUGUUACCCACUAGAGACUAAAUAAAAUAAAGAAAACGUAUGCCGAGUUGAGAAACACAAAAUUGAUCUCUAGGUAGACCCCAUAUAUCAUGGGUUCCCAUAGAGAAACAAUAUAAGCUAUAGUGGUUCUGCUGAAACAAUGACAAAGAUCCCAUUGAAGUCAGGUAGAAAUUUAACAGUCAGAAGUCUAAAGCUCUUAGACAUACCAAGUACAAGUCGAGUAACAGACAGUUAAUUUAAGAGGCUGAAUUUUCCAUGAUAAAUGACUAUCACGCCCAUGAGAUAGGAUUUCCCACUAUUAGCAUUUGGUUUCAAGAAGAGUUCAAACACAUGCAGCACUCAUCAUAUAAUACAAACUGAUUUCAUUUCCUUGGUCGAACUUUUACCAACUCCCAGGAGAAGGGGCGCGAUAUUCUUGGAGUAAGUAGAUUAUGGAAACACAGAGUCCAUUAGAAUUCAGGUCCAAAUAUAGAUCAACAGGCAAUAUGCAGUUCUGUUUACAUCUUAAAUUAAGAUUCUAGUCCAAACAAUGGGAAAAGUCAGAAGGCUAAUUUUUAGUUUAUUUUGUAUAGUAAAUCUAAAAUUGCUUAAAACGCCAAUAACAAAUUAUUAAUUAUAUAAUUGCUGUAAUUAUACUUCCUUAUGUAGAUGAUCUCAGAAGUUACAAAUUGGGAGUAAAGUUAUGAAAACAAAUAAAAUGCUUCAAUUAGGUUAAACAUAAAGAAAUCAUAUUUUAUUGGUGGAUUAAAUUCUUGAGCACAUCCUCCAAAAAGGACAGUUUUAGAACUCUACGAUUUAGAAAUUUAAAAAUAUCUAAACCUUGAGGUAAUGCAUCCUAGAUUCACAUAGCAAGCUGGUUUCACGCUAGAGAAGGUAAAAUAACAACAAUGAACUAAAGCUAAAAUGUCAGCCGUCUGAGCAUUAAUGCAUUAAGAAAAUAAGUGUUCUAAAAAUCCCUACCUAGGCGCUAGGUGGUUCUCUACCGCUUCGAUAUGGCUGGAUGCCUAGGCCCCCUAGGCAAAAUCGAGGUUCCACUAUAACUUAAAUGAAUUUGUUAAGCCUUAAAAUAAAUUUAAUAAUUUUUUUUGACAAUGUUUCAUGUAAAAUUUAAAAAUUAAAUCUACUAUAUGUUUUUUUAUAGUAUAAUAAGUAUGUACAAUAGAAAAAUAAAUAAAUGAGAGCGCCUAAGAAAACGCUUAGUCCACUUAGGAAAACACUAGGCGCUAGGCACCACCUCCGCUGUCUUUAGGUUCGCCUAACGAUUUUUAGAACACUGAAGAAAUUAACUCCACCGAGAAAAUGUUCAUCUUAAAAACAAUCUCUUUUCUUUAGAAGUUGUAUCAAAAACAUUCUUAUUUAGGUGACCCUCCUGCUUGCGCUAAAUUAUUGCUUAUGCACUUAAGUCAUCAUUCUGUGCUUCCAGAAUACUAAUAUGGCUAUGAAUUACAUGUGGUCGUAAAUCUAAUAAACUAACCAAAACUUAAAUGCCAUGUAUAUGUAAUUCAAAGCACAAAUGUCUCAAUUUAAUCUAUUUGACAAUCUUUAUAAUCCCUUUUUUCUGUGAGAACUCACCUUACAGAGACUUGCACUAUCUUGACAUACCCUCAACUUACGUGUGUCCACAACACUACCAAAGAAAAGUUGCAUGUUGGAUAAAAGGCAAGCCAAACACAAUAUAUAUCAAAAGAACAGCUUUUAGUAGCACCUAGUUGAGUGCCAUGGUUCCAAAUAUCAAGAAGAGUCCAUCUUAUACUUUGACUUGUGAAAUAAAGGUAAAUGCCUUGCUGCAUCAGUCCCAAACUAUAAGCAGACAGUAAUAAAAUCCUUUCUUUUUCUUUUAUUUUUUAAGUAACUUGAGGAAGGGCACCCAUAAAGCCAUAACUACAGAAUUUUUUUAUUCUCUAACCCUUAGAGAGGAGAACAUAUCCUAUGCUUUCACUACUGAAGGACUUAGGGUUAUAUUAGCUAUAAUCCAGCUUUCGUAGACAUAUAAUCUCACCAUGGAAUGGAUUGAAAUAGUAAGCAAAAAUGGAGAGAUAAAUUGUAAGCCUUUUCCUACAUAUAAAUAUGUUCCAGUUGGAUACAUCAGUCGAUGGCAGAGGAGGAAAAGCAUAGUUUGGUUAGAUGGGAUGGAGUGUGCUCACUGUAAAUACUGGAGAAGUUGAAGCAUAACGGAGCUCAGAUAUAACCAACUUGUUUAGGACAAUGAUUUUGGUAUGGGAAGUAUGUUAACAUUUCUACAAUAAUUGUGUCUGGAAGAAGCACAACAAUCAGCCUAACAUGGCAGGAGAAAAACAGCAUUUUAAAAUUUGUAACUGCAGAUGCAAAUUCACUGCUAUGCUCACACUUAACAAAAGCAUCAGUAUAAUAAGAAAACUAGAACCCACAACAGAUUUCAUAAGAUAGUAUAACUAAUUUCAGAGAUAUAUACAGCUCAGAACUAUUCAUAUAAUAUGCACUUGUAGGAGUGGGAAUUUUGGACUACACACACAUGUUUAAUCAAAACCACCUGACUGAUGAAAUUUACGCUUCUCACUACAUACAAAAUAUUAACAAGAGGUGAAGGAUGACGUUUCGCUGGGUUUCAGAUUGAAAUUUUGUAACUUUAUAAAGCAAAACAUUUGAAUUUAGUGGACAUGCCAUUAUAAAAGCAAAUAUAUAUUAAAGCCUCACAAAUCAUUUUAGUCAUUUGACAAAAGAAUUAUUACAAAACCAGAAGUGCAUCUGCGGCUAUAAAUUUAACCACGUGGAGAAUUGUGAUAACUAUGAAUGUACUACAGUAGGCCUAAAUUUUUUUGCAACUUCUUAAACCGAAGAAAGAAAUUAAUUUUUUUGGUAUAAAAAAGAAAUUAAUUCCAGCUGUCCACGCAAAUGAUCGAACAGAGGCAAAGAAGUUUACUCUAAAACCUUGAUUUCACGAUCUAACAACAAUAUUGCCCCCAAUCCAAUUUUAAAUAAGAAUAGAACAUACAAGUGAAUCGGUCUCCUUAAAGAGGGAAUUUCCUAAAACUAAACCAUAACCCCUUAGCUUGUAUGACCGAAGGACACAAAUUCCACAAGACCACAUUCACAUCACACAAUAAACACUUGAAUUUCCACACGUGUAUGUAAACAAGGGUUUAUUAAAAGAGUGAACCUGGGCCUUGUCGGCGAGCUGAACAACGAGGCGACCAACGGGGAGAGGAGACUCGUAGGAGUAGCUGUAAUUAAUACACUCGGAUCUCAUGUAACGAGAGAGGACUCGGCCGUCGGCGGUGAGUCCGGCG